AGUUUGUACACAAUUAUCAAGAUCACCCUGGAGGCUGUUGGACAACUGGGUCUCUCAGAGCUGUAGCUGUGCUGCGGGCAAAGGCUUCUGUAGCCAUAUAACCGCUCUGCUGUUCCAGACAGCGCAUUAUGUGCAGCUGGGCCUUGAUGUGGUUCCACCUUCCCUGGCCUGUACCAGUCAACCACAGAUGUGGCACGACCUCGAACCCACGGAAUCCAUCGAGAGGCUGUGAGUGACCUGGUGGUGAAGAAACCCAAGUCGGUGGGGAAGACUGGAGUCAAGUCCACACUCUACAGAGCGUAUGCUGAGGGAAUAUCCAGCUUGGAGUUGGUACCAUCUCAGCUGUGCUGACCUGGAAGAUGUCAGCAAUGACCUGUUCUUUAAGGCCAGUUGCUACUCUACAACAGUAGAUGAAAAACUCAUCAAUGACUGGAAUCUUCCUUGAAGGGCAUGGUGUUGGAAUCGCCUCUUGUCCAAUCCUCUGUGCUUUGCUCCAAUAAGAAUAUAUUGUGUUGAGGGGCAAAACAGACUCCCAAAACACUUGAAACACUUCUUGAGAUGGAAACCGAGAAUAAUAUGUCAUGGUCUGAUCAGACACACAAAACCUGUUGAGGACAGUUUGUGGACCCAUGGACAUUUCUUGCAGCCUUGCCUCCAGCUCAGCAAUAUACUCCAGGGCAUCAUCCAGUGCACCUACAAAAAAAGAAGACAAAUCAGUCUUCAUUACCAUUCAUUCGUAUUCACCCUUUCUUUUUUAUUGUAUUGUUAUUCGGUAUACUUAAGUUUAUUUAUAUUUCUUAUUAUUACAUUUAUUUGUACUGUUUUCUGUUUUUCUUUUUUAUGUAUUAACUAUAGGUGGAGUGUACAUAGAGUAAAGAUAGGCCUAUUGUCCUCUGGUCGAAGAAGAAUCGCGACGGCGCCCUCUAGUGGCUAGUCCUGAAUAACACCGGGGUGGGCCAUUCAUUCUGUCCCAUUUCAUGAAACCACACCGGUCAUCGAUGUUAGAAAGUGUCUUACAAUGUGUUGCUCCCCUUCCCAUUUAAUUUCACUUCUAAUAUUUUGUCUUAUUCAUUAGAAGUCAUUACAAAAGACCUUCAGUUACUUGCACAGGAUGUAGGCAGAGCUCCUCUGCCACCAACUCAACUCCUACAAAGAUCAAAAGAAGAUCUGGUAGUUCAUAAAUGGCAACAAUAUUGCCAUUAUAAUAUUGUUGCCGCAGAUCUUUAAAAGGUAUUGACCGUUUUUUUUAUAUAUACUUUCUUAAAAGCUGUGUGAAACAAAGUUGUAUUUACAUACAGAAUCUGAUGCUAAUGUUGAUUGUCUGACCUUCCUUUUGCCACUGCAGAAUAAGAGGACAAGAUAGGCUCUCUCACACACACACAGACACACACAUUUUAACUUCUUUAUUUAUGACAAUUCUCACACUCUUAGCUGUCCAUCGUGUUCGAUGAUGACCCUUGCUCCAGG
ensembl:lncRNA